GAUCUCAUUACAUCUGGUUUACUACCGAUUGGCGCUACUGUAGGGCAUUCUAGUGUCAGCCCUGCCCAUGUGCCGCCUGGAUCUGCCUCAGUAACAAGCUCUUUGGACUCGAGACAACCAUUUUCACAGCCAAUGAAUUCAGGUAACCUUGGAGGCCAGUCUCACAUGAUGCAAGUUCCUGGUUUUUCUAGAGGUUUUCACUCGCUUCCCUGGGAAGCAUCUCCUAGUUCACGAGGCGGUAGUUCAUCAAUGAUUUCUGGAGAUAGAGGUGCUUCAUUGGGAGAUGAAUCUAACUUCAGUACUGUCAGAAAUAAUGGGGAGUCCCAUCCAUUUGUUCCUGAGACAAGAAAUAUGGUACUUGACCCCACAAAUUGGAGCUUAGCUACUGCAAAUGCAAGCUCUUCUAGAAAUAUUCCUAGUUCUGCAAUGGGUCCUGGUUCAAGAGCACGUAAUUCUCCUACUGCAUGGGCUAAUCAGAAUUCAGCAACUACUAGCUAUGAUGGAUUACCAGAAUUUGCUCCUUGGGUUCUCUUCCCAUCAGGUGAGCCCGAGUCUGGAAGUCAGAGAGGUCGUUCUUCUCUGCUACCUUCAGCUGCUUCUUCCUCAGAGGAUCCAGUGAUGUCUUCCCGAUAUGGUAGCCGGGGUAACCGUCAACCACAUCUUAGAUCGAGUUUGAUGGUUGAUCCAGGGGAUGAUGUAGAUGGUUGGCGUGCUUUAGCUGCUGAUGUUGAGGGUCGACACAGACUGAUUCGUCAAGUCCUGAAUGCCAUGCGGAGAGUCGAGAACUUGAGAUCAGAGGAUUAUAUGUUGGUUGAUCCAUUUAUCAAUGGAGUUGCUGAGUUCCAUGAUAGGCAUAGGGCCAUGAGGCUCGACGUUGAUAAUAUGUCCUAUGAGGAACUAUUGGCUUUGGAAGAACGUAUAGGAAAUGUAAACACAGGCUUGAGUGAAGAAACCAUUUCAGUCAAUAUGAAACAGCGGAAGCAUGGGUCUUUACGUGGACAGUCCUCAUCCAACUUGGAACCUUGCUGUAUAUGUCAGGAGGAAUACACAUCUGGAGAUAUCAUGGGCAUUUUGGAUUGUGGGCAUGAAUUCCAUACUAAUUGCAUUAAGCAGUGGUUGAUCCUGAAGAAUACCUGUCCCAUAUGUAAGAUGACUGCCUUGAAAACUUGAAAGAAUUACCUGCAACAGCUAUUUUUUUCGUCUUCUAUUUCCUCCCCGUUCUAGUUAAGAAGACGGUGAACGAACACACAAAUAAGGGAGGUUCUUGAGUCAACUUAGUAAUACUAUACUAUGGCUCCUGGAAAAUCUUACUCAUGAUGGAACCAAAGGAGUUGUAAGUAAAAAUAUUUGACAUUGUGUUGAGGG
rnacentral:misc_RNA from 1 species